AUGGACGAAAGUCUGAUGGAGCAACGCCGCGUGAGUGAAGAAGGGUUUCGGCUCGUAAAACUCUGUUGUUAAAGAAGAACAUAUCUGAGAGUAACUGUUCAGGUAUUGACGGUAUUUAACCAGAAAGCCACGGCUAACUACGUGCCAGCAGCCGCGGUAAUACGUAGGUGGCAAGCGUUGUCCGGAUUUAUUGGGCGUAAAGCGAGCGCAGGCGGUUUUUUAAGUCUGAUGUGAAAGCCUUCGGCUCAACCGAAGAAGUGCAUCGGAAACUGGGGAACUUGAGUGCAGAAGAGGACAGUGGAACUCCAUGUGUAGCGGUGAAAUGCGUAGAUAUAUGGAAGAACACCAGUGGCGAAGGCGGCUGUCUGGUCUGUAACUGACGCUGAGGCUCGAAAGUAUGGGUAGCAAACAGGAUUAGAUACCCUGGUAGUCCAUACCGUAAACGAUGAAUGGUAAGUGUUGGAAGGUUUCCGCCCUUCAGUGCUGCAGCUAACGCAUUAAGCAUUCCGCCUGGGGAGUACGGCCGCAAGGCUGAAACUCAAAGGAAUUGACGGGGGCCCGCACAAGCGGUGGAGCAUGUGGUUUAAUUCGAAGCUAC
rnacentral:rRNA from 2 species